CAACUCUACAGCCCACCUCCCACACUCACUCCUUUCUUUAUGCCUCCGAAGCGAGACACUCUGGCACAGCCAUCUGGAGCAAGCAACUUUCAUGAGACCAACUUGAUGCAGGAACAUUCAGACAUGGCUUAACAAAACCCACGUUAUUAUAGUUUCAAGCAUUUUUAUGGGUUUUACAACAGUCACAACAAAACCUGAAGCAACCCUGCCUAACUUGAGCUGAGGCAUGGGCUAGAGCUCUCCAUGCCGCCCUAUGCCCAAUUCUCUCAUCCCUUUGGGCUCAAGGGGCCCUCGUGCCUGCCACUGCCUUGCAGCUGGUGGGACCAUGUGACUAGCUCUGUGAUGGUCCUGAGCAGUUGCAGGACAAGCCAUUUGGGGCCAGAGCCCUCACUCGCUGGUGUGAUUCCCCCAGUGCUUUGCUGCCUGGCCACCGCAAUCCUAGAUUGAAAUGGAGGGUGCUUAGGGUCAGAGCAGCCUGAGGAAUUCUGAGUCAAGUCAUGGGGGAUGAUUACCUGAGAGACAGAGGGACUGGCCUGGAUUUGCAUGAGUCAGAAAUAAGCUUUUGACAUGUCAACCCACAGAGAUCUGAGGUUUCUGAUUACUGCAACAAACCAAGAUCAUCCCCACUGAUCUUACCCUUACUGUGUCACAGAUGCCUGCUCCAGCUGCCUCAUCUCCUCUUGUGUUCACAACAGACCUAGAAACCAGUGUCUCCCAGCAUGGUGACUUUCCAGAUGGGGAAACCGAGUCUUGGAGAAGUAUGAUGAACAUUCUAAGGAGAGAGGCCACCUUUGUUGACAAACUGGUGUUUUAUACGGAGGCAUCAUCCGGCUGGAAUGGAGCUGUCCCCAUAACGGUGAGAGUACAUGUUGUGAUUUGAGGGAGGCUGAGCUUAACAAGGUGACAGCAUGCUCCCACCUGCACCCCGGCAUAAAAGCAUUUCCAUUUCGCUUGUACACCUCAAUUCAUCUUGUAGACCGAGUUUAAAGACAGACAUCACUGGAGGCCUAAACGCUGUGGUCAUUCACAUAAAUAAAUCGUUUUGUUUUAGCUCCAUGGAGCAGCGCCCAGUGGAGCAGGAGGCCUGGUAAUGCAUGAGGUU
rnacentral:lncRNA from 10 species